rnacentral:rRNA from 1 species
CAAUAGCGUAUAUUAAAGUUGUUGCAGUUAAAAAGCUCGUAGUUGGACCUUGGACCUGGACAGGCGGUCCGCCUCACGGCGUGUACUGUCUUGCUGGGUCUUUCCUCUUGGUGAUCUGUUGUUUCGGCAGCAGGGAACCAGGACUUUUACUUUGAAAAAAUUAGAGUGUUCAAAGCAGGCUCGACGCCGGAAUGUAUUAGCAUGGAAUAAUAAAAUAGGACGUGCGGUUCUAUUUUGUUGGUUUUUGGAAUCGCCGUAAUGAUUAAUAGGGACAGUCGGGGGCAUUAGUACUCACAUGCUAGAGGUGAAAUUCUUGGAUUUUGUGAAGACUAACUUCUGCGAAAGCAUUUGCCAAGGAUGUUUUCAUUAA